UACGGAGGAUGCGAGCGUUAUCCGGAUUUAUUGGGUUUAAAGGGUGCGUAGGCGGGAUGCCAAGUCAGCGGUAAAAAUGCGGUGCUCAACGCCGUCGAGCCGUUGAAACUGGCGUUCUUGAGUGGGCGAGAGGCAUGCGGAAUGCGUGGUGUAGCGGUGAAAUGCAUAGAUAUCACGCAGAACUCCGAUUGCGAAGGCAGCAUACCGGCGCCCUACUGACGCUGAGGCACGAAAGCGUGGGUAUCGAACAGG
rnacentral:rRNA from 1 species